GUAUGAAUAAUGACUCGACUAAUUAGAAAUAAAUACGUAUCGCAAAAAUUUCAGCAAUGCCAAAUGGUUCACGUAACGGGCAAUUUUUAGUGUUUCAAAAACAUAUUUUUCAAGCUGAGAUUUUAAUUUGAGAGUCAAACGCAUAAAUAAUAAGUCACAUAUUUAAUAAAGUAUACAUUAAAUGUUUAUAAUAGCCCAUGUAAGAUGGUUCUCUACCCCAUAUUAGCCUAAACACAUAUUUUAAGCCAAAUUGAUUCGAAAAUAUAAUCAAAACACUCGAAAUAGGUAAAAUCAGGAGGUACUUUUAUGUGGGCGCUUCUCCGAAACAUUGACAUUGAAACAUUUCCGCGAAAUGGUCUUCUACCCCCUUAACAGCUACGAUGCCAAAUAAAGGUAAGAUCGAUUGAAAAUUUUCACCAAACUCUGGAAAUAGCUGUUAUCAGCGGAUACCUUUAUAAAAGGGUUAUACCAAUAUAUGUGUAUGGCUGAGCUAUAUAAAAUGGACCCUAAAAACGUUGAACCCGAACAAUUUUUCAAGUAUAACAUAAUUUUCCCCGUAUAACAUUACAUGUGAGUUAAGGUUACUUUUAAGGGUUUGGAAGAAUUUACCGAGGAUAUGCAUACUUUUUUUUAUAAAUUUUCAAUUCGCUCCACUAUUUUAUAUAGGUCGCAUAUUACAGUGCCUCUUCAUAUUCGGUAUUUCAAUUUGAGGUAUUUUGAAGGGAUCAAAAGCAAUUUUUGAGGUUAGAAAUCAUUUGUCAAAAAAUUACAACAUAUUAAAAUGAGUGCGCUAUUCGAUGUUAUAUGCGAUCUUUCAUGUGUAAAAUUGGCAUCUGGCUUUCAACUCCAUCGUGCUUCAGCUGGAAGAUGCGAACACAUUUAAACAAACAAAUUUGACUGACAAAGGUUUAUAGGCUCAUUUCAAAACGUGGACCUACUUCUUUCAUAUGACAAUAAUCCGUCCAGUGAGAACUGAAAAUGCAAAAUUCAUUGGGACUGCCAUCAGUGAAAUACCGAAUAUAAAGGGCGCAAAAUAGUAGAGCCAACUGGACGUUUUGUCAUGAUAUGGGUCAUAAACCCCCGGAUUAGGGUACAACCCGGUAAUGGCAUAAAUAUUUCAAUUUUGGAAAAAGGGCCCAUCUUGGUCUAGACCACAUUCAUCAAUUGAUUUGGAUAAAAAAAAUGUAUCUAGGCUACCCAGGGGUAGAGAACCGUCGUACAGAUAAUUGUCCACAUAGGGAUUUUUUUAAGUAUAGUCCCCACAUUAGUGUACCCCCAUGUCAACUUUCUCAACCAAUGUGCGGUUAAAAUAUAAUAUUUUUAUUCUAUUGAAUUUGCAAACCCCAAGAGAUUAUUGGUUGGGAACGUAGAUUUGGGAUGUACAUCUAUGUGAAAUAAACUGCGAAAUGUGAAAAAGCGACUCCGUCAGUUGGAAAUUGUGGCAGAAACAUCAAAAAAUACGAAUAUUAGAUAGUAGCACGGGACCGAAUAUUUAUUUAAUCGUCAUUGAAUUAAAUUAUAAUGAAAAAUGUGGAAUUAAUUCCAAUCUUAUGGUAAUGCGUAUAAAAUAGCAAUUAUCUUUGACUAUUCUGAAAUCAUUCUGUCAUCUUUUAUGAUGUGGUUAAAAGUACAUACCACACAGUACGUUUUCUAAAAGUUGGAAACAUAAACUCUAAAUUACAGCUCAUUUGAAUGGAAGAUGCUGCUAAGCUCUUUACAAAAAAAAAAAAAAAAAAAAAAAAAAAACCAAAA